rnacentral:rRNA from 1 species
ACCUGGUUGAUCCCGCCAGUAGUCAUAUGCUUGUUUCAAAGAAUAAACCAUGCAUGUCUAAGUAUAAAUAACUACACAGUAAAAAUGCGAAUGGCUCAUUAAAACAGUUAUAGUUUAUUUGAUACAAUAGAUGGAUAACUGUAGAAAAACUAAAAAUAAUUCAUGCCAUAACCGCAAGGUUGUAUUUAUUAGAUAUACCCAUUUGGUGAAUCAUAAUAACUUCGCAAAUCGCAGCCAAGCUGCUAUAAAUCAUUCAAGUUUUUGCCCUAUCAUGCUUUUGAUGGUAGUGUAUUGGACUACCAUGGCUCUCACGGGUAACGGGGAAUUAGGGUUUGAUUCCGGAGAAGGAGCCUGAGAAACGGCUACUACAUUUAAGGAAGGCAGCAGGGGCGUAAAUUACCCAAUCCUGACUCAGGGAGGUAGUGACAAGAUAUAACGACGCGACUAAAAUCGCGAUUGUUUUAAAGGGAUUCCAAACCGAACCCCUAGUACGAUUGGAGGGC